rnacentral:lncRNA from 1 species
GCUGCUGGCAGCGCCGACAAUGCUGCUCUUGUCCUCCAGCAGAGGGGUAAUGCUGAUGCUGAGAAUGCUGUUGUGGAGAAUGGCGUUGAUGCCGCGGCUGUUGCAGGCGACAUUGUAAUUCAGUCUCUGGAAGAUGCUAAUGCUAAUGCUGCUGGUGCUGAAAAUGCUAAUGUAAUUGAGGAGGAGAAGGUUGAUGCUGCCUCUGCUUCUGAUGACACUGUUGAGGAUGCUCUGAANNNN